rnacentral:rRNA from 1 species
AAUGAACGUUGGCGGCGUGGAUUAGGCAUGCAAGUCGAGCGAGAACUGUAGCAAUACAGGGAAAGCGGCGAAAGGGAGAGUAAUACGUAGGUACCUACCCUCGGGUCUGGGAUAGCUGCGGGAAACUGCAAUUAAUACCGGAUGACGUCUCUGGACCAAAGGUGUGAUUCCGCCAGGGGAUGGGCCUGCGUCCUAUUAGCUAGUUGGCGGGGUAACGGCCCACCAAGGCAAAGAUGGGUACGGGGUGUGAGAGCAUGCCCCCGCUCACUGGGACUGAGACACUGCCCAGACACCUACGGGUGGCUGCAGUCGAGGAUCUUCCGCAAUGGGCGCAAGCCUGACGGAGCGACGCCGCGUGCGGGAUGAAGGCUUUCGGGUUGUAAACCGCUGUCAGUGGGGAGCAAACGCAUCAGGGUUCUCCCUGGUGUUUGAGCGAUCCGCAGAGGAAGCACAGGCUAAUUCCGUGCCAGCCGCCGCAGUAAAAC